rnacentral:misc_RNA from 1 species
UCCGGUUUGGCACCGGCAGUCUUCCCAGAGUCCCCGGCAUUACCCGCUGGCAACUGGGAACGGGGGUUGCGCUCGUUGCGGGACUUAACCCAACAUCUCACGACACGAGCUGACGACAGCCAUGCAGCACCUGUGCUGGCGCCCCGAAGGGGGGCCCUGGUUUCUCAGGGCUUUCACCAGCAUGUCAAGCCUAGGUAAGGUUCUUCGCGUUGCGUCGAAUUAAACCACAUGCUCCACCGCUUGUGCGGGCCCCCGUCAAUUCCUUUGAGUUUCAGCCUUGCGGCCGUACUCCCCAGGCGGGGCACUUAAUGCGUUAGCGCCGGCACUCAGAGGGUCGCUCCCCCAAGCACCUAGUGCCCAUCGUUUACGGCGUGGACUAC